GUUUUGAACCUCUGUUGGCAAACUCGAUUGAGUCAGCCUUUCACGUUCGGAAAAUCACUGAUCACCACCUUAGUUAGUCUUUCGAGCAUUCAAUCUUUUAUUUCUAUACUGUCAUUUUGGGCAAUGUUCAUCAAGGUCGCCUUUCUCAUUCGGCGGAUCGCCUUCUCCACUGGAGUCGACCAACCUGAACUGACAGACACAAGUGCUAUGCACUUUCACUUUAGGCGAGGUCAUGCUCAAUUGGCGACCCUCCA
rnacentral:lncRNA from 1 species